GACGAACGCUGGUGGCGUGCCUAACACAUGCAAGUCGAGCGGAGGCGCCUGAAGAGCAAUCGGAGGGUGUCUGAGCGGCGGACGGGUGAGUAACGCGUGAGCGAUCUGCCUUUCACAGGGGGAUAACGCAGCGAAAGCUGCACUAAUACCGCAUGAGACCACGGUACUGAUGGUACAGGGGUCAAAGGAGAGAUCCGGUGAGAGAUGAGCUCGCGUCCGAUUAGGUAGUUGGUGAGGUAACGGCCCACCAAGCCAAUGAUCGGUAGCCGGCCUGAGAGGGUGAACGGCCACAUUGGAACUGAGAGACGGUCCAAACUCCUACGGGAGGCAGCAGUGGGGAAUAUUGGGCAAUGGGGGAAACCCUGACCCAGCAACGCCGCGUGAGGGAAGAAGGUUUUCGGAUUGUAAACCUCUGUUCUUGGAGAAGAGGAGAAGACGGUAUCCAAGGAGGAAGCCCCGGCUAACUACGUGCCAGCCGCCGCAGUAA
rnacentral:rRNA from 1 species